rnacentral:rRNA from 1 species
UGCAGUACCCCAUAUUGAUCUCGUCUGAUCUCUGAAGCUAAGUGGGGCUGGGCCUGGUUAGUGCUUGGAUGGGAGACCGCUGGGAACACCAGGGGCAA